AUACGGAGGGUGCAAGCGUUGUUCGGAAUUACUGGGCGUAAAGGGCGCGCAGGCGGUUUGGUAAGUCAGAUGUGAAAGUCCAGGGCUUAACCCUGCAAGUGCAUAUGAAACUGUCAGACUUGAGUAUCAGAGGGGAAAGUGGAAUUCCCGGUGUAGAGGUGAAAUUCGUAGAUAUCGGGAGGAAUACCGGUGGCGAAGGCGACUUUCUGGCUGAAUACUGACGCUGAGGCGCGAAAGCGUGGGGAGCAAACAGGAUUAGAAACCCCGGUAGUCC
rnacentral:rRNA from 1 species